rnacentral:misc_RNA from 1 species
CAUAAGCAGGAUAAGCAAAUAGCCCUUUUGGACUAUGCUUUGAUCUUCUCCGAAAAUAUUGACUUAGUUGUGAUCCUUUGAUCCUUAAAUCAAGCCAUGUUUCUGGUGCUGCAAUCACUUUUGAAUCUUUAAAAGUAACAAAUUCGCGUAUACAGUCAUACUCUUCACCAAGAAUUGUCAUAUAGUAAUUUCCCCUGAAGAAAG